rnacentral:rRNA from 1 species
GAUGAAAGCGCCCGUAGCCGGCCCUGCAAGUCACUGCUUAAAGACCCGGGCUCAACCCGGGGAAGGGCAGUGAUACUGCAGGGCUCGGGGGCGGGAGAGGUCGGAGGUACUCCCGGAGUAGGGGCGAAAUCCACAGAUCCCGGGAGGACCACCAGUGGCGAGGGCGUCCGGCCAGAACGCGCCCGAAGGCGAGGGCCCAAAGCGGGGUAGCAAAAGGGAUUAGCUACCCCUGUAGACCCGGCUGUAAACUAUGCAGGCUAAGUGUCGCGUAGGCUUUGAGCUUACGCGUUGCCGGUGGGAAAACGGUAAGCCUGCCACCUGGGGAGUGCGGCCGCAAGGGUGAAACUUAAAGGAAUUGGCGGGGGAGCACCAGAGAGGGUUGGAACCUGCGGAUCAAUUGGAAUCAACGCCUCGAAUCUCACCGAAGGAGACCGCAGGAUGAGGGCCAUGCUAACGGCCUUGCCAGACUUGCGGAGAGGAGGUGCAUGGCCGUCGCCAGCUCGAGUUGUGCACUGUCCGGUUCAGUCCGGCAACGAGCGAGACCCGGACCCUUAGUUGGUAUCCCGGUCUCCGGAUGGGACAACACUAAGGGCACUGCCGGCGUUAGGCCGGAGGAAGGAGGCAGCUACGGCAGGUCAGCAUGCCCCGAAAUCCCUGGCCCGCACGAAGGUUACAAUGGCAUGGACAGCGGGAUUCCGACCAUGCACGGGGGAGGUAAACCCUCAAACCUUGCCUCAGUUGGGCUCGAGGGCUGAAACUCGCCCUCGUGAACGAG